CAGAGUCUCCAGUUGAAUUCAGUGGACGAACAUGGCGGUGCGUUUGAUUAAUCUGCUACCAUCCAACCUGAAAUGUGAAGUGUUUCAGCUUUCACACACCAAGUUAUGACUUUGAAGCGGGUGUCUGGAUUCUGCAUUAAACCACAGGGGCAGUGCACGAAGGCUGGCCUCUGCCGUAGAUGGCCUAUGGGUCACGAGACGUGAACAUGGCAGCUCGCUUCUUCAGGAAUGACUCAUGAAGAGUAGCACGUGAAGAUGGGCAGCUGCCAUCUUCAGUUCCAACCGCGUGGACCACGAGUUGCAAAUAAGCAUGGCGGUGCUUCCAGAGAAAAGCUCUCCAGUGCAGAUGGUUGUUGUUGCUCAAAGCGCCAGAGAUUUAAGAGUCUGGCCUCACAGAUUUCAUCCAGAAAGCCGGAGAACCAGUUGAUCGAGGAAAAUAAAUUAAUAUUUUAAAAAAUUGUUGCACUGCUUUAGUAAUGUACAGGUUGACUGUCAUUUGAAGCACUUGUUGGUUAAGUUGACUUGAUUUUGUGGUUAAAUGUGGAAAGAAUCUGUGACACUAAAGAAACUAGAAAAAUGUAUUUGCACAGAGAUAAAUCGAUUAUAAUCUGUUACACAUUUAAACACAUGAAAGUGUUCAACCAAUUGAAAUGAAUACUAGAGAAACAUUAAAAUAAAAUCAUGAAAAUGGA